rnacentral:sRNA from 1 species
UAGUGGCAUAUUUCAAAACUAGAAAAUUUUUAAUGGCAUGUAUCCAAUUAA